rnacentral:rRNA from 1 species
AUACGUGGCACACGGCUCAGUAACACUUAGUCAACAUAACCAAAGGACGUGGAUAAUCUCGGGAAACUGAGGCUAAACCGCGAUAGACCAAGAUACCUGGAAUGGUUUUUGAUCAAAAUCUAUAUGGCCUUUGGAUUGGACUGCGUCCGAUCAGGCUGUUGGUGAGGUAAUGGCCCACCAAACCUAUAACCGGUACGGGCUCUGAGAGGAGGAGCCCGGAGAUGGGUACUGAGACAAGGACCCAGGCCCUAUGGGGCGCAGCAGGCGCGAAACCUCUGCAAUAGGCGAAAGCCUGACAGGGUUACUCUGAGUGACUUUCGCUAAGAAAGUCUUUUGACAUCUGUAAAAAUGGUGUAGAAUAAGGGGUGGGCAAGUCUGGUGUCAGCCGCCGCGGUAAUACCAGCACCCCGAGUGGUCGGGACGAUUAUUGGGCCUAAAGCAUCCGUAGCCGGUUUUACAAGUCCUCCGUUAAAUCCAACUGCUUAACAGAUGGGCUGCGGAGGAUACUAUAAGACUAGGAGGCAGGAGAGGCAAGCGGUACUCAGUGGGUAGGGGUAAAAUCCGUUGAUCCAUUGAAGACCACCAGUGGCGAAGGCGGCUUGCCAGAAUGCGCUCGACGGUGAGGGAUGAAAGCUGGGGGAGCAAACCGGAUUAGAUACCCGGGUAGUCCCAGCCGUAAACGAUGCAGACUCGGUGAUGGACCAGCUUAAUGCUAGUCCAGUGCCGCAGGGAAGCCGUUAAGCCUGCCGCCUGGGUAGUACGGUCGCAAGACUGAAACUUAAAGGAAUUGGCGGGGGAGCACCACAAGGGGUGAAGCCUGCGGUUCAAUUGGAUUCAACGCCGGG